rnacentral:rRNA from 1 species
AGCGAACGCUGGCGGCAGGCCUAACACAUGCAAGUCGAACGGAUCCUUCGGGAUUAGUGGCGGACGGGUGAGUAACACGUGGGAACGUGCCCUUUGGUUCGGAACAACUCAGGGAAACUUGAGCUAAUACCGGAUGUGCCCUUCGGGGGAAAGAUUUAUCGCCAUUGGAGCGGCCCGCGUCGGAUUAGCUAGUUGGUGGGGUAAAGGCCCACCAAGGCGACGAUCCGUAGCUGGUCUGAGAGGAUGAUCAGCCACACUGGGACUGAGACACGGCCCAGACUCCUACGGGAGGCAGCAGUGGGGAAUCUUGCGCAAUGGGCGAAAGCCUGACGCAGCCAUGCCGCGUGAAUGAUGAAGGUCUUAGGAUUGUAAAAUUCUUUCACCGGGGAAGAUAAUGACGGUACCCGGAGAAGAAGCCCCGGCUAACUUCGUGCCAGCCGCCGCGGUAACAC